GACGAACGCUGGCGGCGUGCCUAAUACAUGCAAGUCGAACGAAGUGGCGAACGGGUGAGUAACGCGUAAUCAACCUGCCCUUCAGAGGGGGACAACAGUUGGAAACGACUGCUAAUACCGCAUACUGAAGGAGGGGAAGGCGUCUGAUUAGCUAGUUGGAGGGGUAACGGCCCACCAAGGCGAGGUUCAGUAGCCGGUCUGAGAGGAUGAACGGCACACAUGGGAAUGGGACACGGCCCAGACUCCUGCGGGAUGCAGCAGUGGGGAAUCUUCCGCAAUGGACGAAAGUCUGAAUGAGCAACGCCGCGUGAGGGAUGACGGCCUUCGGGUUGUAAAGCUCUGUUAAUCGGGACGCGGUACCGGAAUAGAAAGCCACGGCUAACUACGUGCCAGCAGCCGCGGUAAUAC
rnacentral:rRNA from 1 species